ensembl:lncRNA
AGACAUUGCUGUCGCUCACGGUGAAAGAAUUUUGUCAAUACGACUUUUACUUUUCAUUUGGGAACGAUUUGUUUCGGCCUGACUUUUCUGUUCAUUUUAAGCAGCAAAAGUGAGGCGCAUGUCUGUGUACGUGUGUAUGGAGCCAUUGGGUGCGGUCACUAUAGCAACCAGGCUCACACCUGCCUGCUUAACGAGCUCUGCCUGCCACUGUACCAAGAUUCAUCUUAAGCACUUCUCUUUCAACUGCUGCUGUGUCCACAGUGUUACAGCCAUCAUUUUACCCUCAAAUUGUCGCCAUUAUUGUUCUCUUUCCAACACCGUAUCUUUCAAAGCUCAGGCAUUUAAACUUUUUAAACUGUGUGUAUCAAAGUGGAGGGAUCACAUUUGAGUCAUUCAGUGAUUCAAAGAAUAUGACCUUUUAAUAUUCAUUCAGAUGUUUUCUGACUCUAAAUGUUCUUUUCUCAUUUCUUAGGGUUUUCUAAUUUACAUUUAAAACAUUUUCACUUUUUUCCAACUUCUUCUUCUGUGUAACGUUCAGCUUUUAGCAGUUCAGCACCUUUGUUUUCAGGUUAAAUUCGUUUUUUUUUUUUGUUUUUUUUUAAUCUCAUUCAAUAUUUUUAACUCAAAAUUCAGCAAUUAAUUCAUUUCAGUGCAUACAUUCAGAUUCAAGCAUUCACACUGCAGUUUCUUCAGAAAAUGCACUUUCUAGUUAUUAUAUUUUAUCUAUUCCGUACGUUUUUUGAAAGCCUACUCCUUCAAAACCGUUCAACUUAGAAAAACCAUUCAAACACCAUUAGAUUCCUAUUCUUUUGGACACUGUUGCUUGUAUUUUUCUCAUUUUUAACAUUUAUAUUUUUAAUUUUAUUCAACUUUAUUCAACAAAAAUUUCCCAUGUAUUUCAAUGGGGAGACCCUUCAAAUUCUCAUUCAACUUACUCAUUUUUAAACUCUUACUACUUCAACAUACGUUCACAUAGAGCCACCAUUCAAACUUUAAAACGAAGACAAGACAUUCAACUAUUCAACUUGUAUUUAUCUUUUCAAUAUCUAUUAUACUUUUUCUUCAGUUCCAGUUUAAGUUUCAUGAUGUUUUUUCACCCGUUUCAGAGUUUAUAAUGGGUGUGUAUGGGACGGAAUGUUGGGGCUAGAGUGAGACAGCUCAACUGCUAGAGUGAGAGGAGCAAAAAAAA